rnacentral:lncRNA from 1 species
CCCAUGCUAUUCUCAAAAGUGGUAAGUCAAUGGGGAUUUGGAUCCCUACUCUUUGGUGAGAAUGGAGUCAAAGGCCUCACCAUGGGGCUCAACAAUACUUCCACCAAGACCCAUGUCAUUCUCGAAUAUUGGUAAGUCAGUGGGAAUUUUGGCCCCUACCCUUUGGUGAUAUUUAUUUCAUGUAGUCAAUUGUUAUUUGGUUCCUCUCGAUUUACUCAUCCUUGGCAGGUGUGGGCUCUGUCGCAUGAAAAUAUUUUUUUUUACAAAUAACCAGCCCCCACA